UGAGUACUAAAAAUCACAAUAAAUCUAAUGCAUUUUAGACAUUAUCAAAAUCGAGCAACAUCAUUAACAUCAUCUAUGACAUCAACCCUAUUAUGAUGUCAUCCAUGACAUCAACCCUAAUCUACUUUAGUUUACAUAUAGCCUCCUUCCCCUCAUUGUAUAACACACAAUGUGAUAUAUCAAUAAAGUCUUCUCUCUCUUCUUCUUCUUCUUCUUCUUCAUCCGUACAUUGAACAAAUCCGAAACCUUGUAAGCAUACAAUUGUAAUCAAUUGAGUUCCACCAACAAUUUCACCACCCUCAUCUCCAAUUCAUAUUCACACUCAUGACCUUGGCGAGAAUUAUUCUGGCACGUGUCAAGGAAUUGAUCUCAAUAAUUUAUAAAAAGGAUAGUCACUUUCAUCCAUAUAAACCCAUGUGAUGGCAAACUUUCCAGCUCAAAAGCUGAUUCUCCAAAACAAUUAUCGACAAAGCAUUUUAAAGCAAACCUUAUCGCUCCAGCUUAAAAAUAGAUUCUUCUCCAGUUCAAAAGCUAAAAAGCAGAUUCUUCUCCAGUUCAAAAGCUAAAAAGCAGAUUAUCUCUCAUCUCUUCGGACUCCAAUUUAUUUCAAGUCCGUUCCCAUAUCUUUUCCGCAUAACAAAGCAAGUUUUUCAACAAGAAGUUUUCCAAAUAAUAGUGAGUGUGAUAGUGUAGUGUGAGUGUGAGUGUGAGUGUGCUAGUGAGUGCGAUUUUGAAGAACUGUACAUGCUUCGUCCAAUUUGCUUCAAAGCUUGUGAAGUUGUGGGGUGAAUUGGAGGGUUAAUUAUGAAAAAUUUUGGAUUAGAUUGUAAAUUGAUUUUAAACUAAAGGUUAAUAAACGGGAAUCUCUAUCAACUUUUGAAUAUAUAAUUAAUUUUUUUUUAGUUUGUUAAAUAAUCUUUGAGUCAUAAAAUAUUACCAGUGAGAAAUUAUUUUUUACUUUUAAACAAUAGAAUAUGAUGCUUUAAUUUGACAUUAAUUAAUAUUAAUUGAUUAAAAUAAUAUGAUAUAGUAUUUUGUAUUAAAUUUUGAAAAAUGCCUUAGAACUUUAAUUUUUGAGUUCUAAAGGUAGUUUUUAUGUGUUGACAGUAGACUCCACCCACAAUGAUGUAAUGUUUUGGUCUUGGUUUGUUUUUAUUUUAUUUAUUUUUUGUUCAUUAUUAUGUCAUUAAUGUUUCAUUAAAAUAUCAAAAUUAAUAGUUUGAAGCAUUAUUGUUAAAUUUUUUAAAAAGUACCUUCAUAAAUAUCAAAUAAUAAAUAAUUUAAAACAAUAUUUUGAAAUUACCGAACAAUCACUCUAAAUCUGACAUGAUCUUUUCGCCUCUGGAAAACAAAUGGAAAAUCAAUAUGCCUACGUUCAUACGGGUGCGAUCAUCUACUAGCUAUUGUUUACGGACAGCGUGCUAUAUGGUAAUCAUUUUUCAUUUUCUACUCCUUUGUUUAU